GUCAGGGUGGCCGAGUGGUCUAAGGCGCCAGACUCAAGUUCUGGUCCUCGUUGGGGGCGUGGGUUCGAAUCCCAUCCCUGACA